UGAAUUGAUUGGUAACAAAGUUAUCACUGUAUAUAAAAAUUGUUUUGCUAUACAAUUUAAUUAAGUAAACAAACGGAAGCAAAAAAGAAGGGAGAAAACUUGUUUGGCAAAUUGAUCAAGAUAAAAAUGACUUGAUAGGAAGGAUGAAUCCAUGUUACUACGAAGAACUAUGGAUAUUACAGUUUCUGUUUCUUAAACUAUCAUUUCAAUAAACUCAAAUCUCAGUAAACAGUAAAGAUGUUGUUUCUAAAAAUAAAAACUAUAUAUGUAACGUUUUUUUUUUUUCUUAAUAGCGUAAUUUAAGACAAUUUUGUGACCACAUAUGAAAGCGUCAUUUCAAAUCCACCACAAACAUAAAAACCUUACUGCAAUCUAUUAUUCAAAAUCACAAUAAAUCUGCAACCCUAUAUGUAAUAUCACAAUGAAGGAUAAUCUUACAAACUCCCAUCAGACACACUAUCUACACUACUACUACUUAUUACACACUCAAUCAUGUCAAAUAACGAAAAUAUUAUUGUCAUGUUCCUCUAUCUGCUAGGUUCAGAAAUCAGCAACUCCGAUCCCGACUUCAUUCCUACUUCAUCUGUAAAUAAUAAGAAGUGAGUAUAUAUAACUCAGUACAGUAAAAAGUAAGUUACAAACAUCAUAUACAAUAAAAAUUCAGAACUCAGGAGUUCGAUAUGUACUCCACCUACUUAACCUAAUACCUACCCUUGAUAAUUUAAAUAUUAUGCAUGUUAAUUGUGACUGCCCCUCAACAUCCCCUAACUGUACAAAUAUUCUCCCCCGUCACCAAUAUCGGCGAUCACCAAUAAACCAUCUAUCUCUCGACCCCUAAUAGACCACACACACACAUAUACCAUUCUUUCUCGUCACCAAUAUCGGCGACCAAACCCUUUCACGUUGGAGUCUCUCGACCAUCACCACUAUCGGCGAUCAACUUACUUUUUCUAGGUAGCGACAACCAACAUCGGCGUCCCCCAAUGCUACCCACUCAAAAAUAUUAUCAUCCUGUCCUUACUCCCCCACCUUAUCUCUACCUUAUCUUGAAGCUUUCUUAUACCUUUAACCUGUAUAUCUAAACUACACGCGUCUCUCCAUAAGCCACGCACUAACACUUAACACACUUACACCUGUAACGUUCCCUUGCCAACUACCAAAUUUACAGCAGCUAUACCAACUUAUAUACAACCCACUCUCUCACACCACACAGCUACACCACUCAUCCCCUCGCCCUACACAGAGCCACCUCCACACCUCUAUUCCAACACUUCAUUCCCACGCUCUACGGCCUCUCUUUCCUUCUCCCAAAUUUUCUGCAUCCACACACACUACUUUCUCUCUUAUACAAAUCUACCUCACUCACCAAAUCUCUUCUUCUCUCUCUCUCUCCACGGCCUACUCUAGGUACUCCACUCUCAAAUCCCGAAAUCACCUCUCCCUCAUAGACCUCACUCACAAGCAGCAUUCCUCCCUCUUUCUCUUCUCGCGGACUCCUCCUCAUACUUCCCCUCAUACUCAUACAAAAUCCUCUCUCCCACCCGGACCUCACUCACAAGCCGCAUUCCUCCCUCUCUCUCCUCUCGCGAACUCCUCCAUAAACCUUCAUUCGUGCUCACACAACAUCUCCUCCCUCUCGCGAACCUCACUCAUACACUGCACACCUUCUUUUCUCUCCUCUCGUGGUCUAGCCUCCUACAUAUGCCCCCGCUCAUACUCAACAUCUCACCUCCCUCACACACCGCACUCCUUCCUUUCUCUCCUCCCGCGGCCUAGCCUCCUCCAUAUACCCCAACUCAUACUCAACAUCUCCUCUCCCUCACAGACCUCUCUCCCAUGCCACAUUUCUUCUUCUCUUUCCUUCCGCGGUCUCCUCCACUCAUACUCACACAAAAACCUUCACCUACGGGCAAAAUUUCAAAUCCACAUCAACUAAAGAAUGAAACUUAAAAUUAUCGUACCUCCCGUCUCCAUUUUCCUCAUUCUCUUGGCUUGCUCCGUCACCGUCCUCUGUCUCCUCCUCUCUCUCUUCUCGCUCCUCUCCGCUCCGGCUCUUCUCUCUUUCUCUCGAACCUUCUAUUCCCUCCGAUCUCUCUUUUCUCUUUUCUUUCAUUUCCUCUCUUUUUUUCUUUUCCUUUUUCUUUUCUUUUCUUUCCCUCUCUUUUCUUUUUUUUUUUUCCUUCCCGUCUCCUAUUUAUACCCCACCUGUUUUCCAUCCUCUCCGUACAUCUCGACUCAUCGCAACCGUUCACUCUCUCUUCUCCAAACGACGUUGUU
rnacentral:lncRNA from 1 species